CCUACGGGAGGCAGCAGUGGGGAAUCUUGCGCAAUGGGCGAAAGCCUGACGCAGCAACGCCGCGUGCGGGAAGAAGGCUUUCGGGCUGUAAACCGCUUUCAGCAGGAACGAAAAUGACGGUACCUGCAGAAGAAGGAGCGGCCAACUAUGUGCCAGCAGCCGCGGUGAUACAUAGGCUUCAAGCGUUGUCCGGAUUUAUUGGGCGUAAAGAGUUCGUAGGCGGUCGAGUAAGUCGGGUGUGAAAAUUCUGGGCUCAACCCAGAGACGCCACCCGAUACUGCUUGACUUGAGUUCGAUAGGGGAGUGGGGAAUUCCUAGUGUAGCGGUGAAAUGCGCAGAUAUUAGGAGGAACACCGGUGGCGAAGGCGCCACUCUGGAUCGAUACUGACGCUGAGGAACGAAAGCAUGGGUAGCAAACAGGAUUAGAUACCCUGGUAGUCCAUGCCGUAAACGGUGGGCACUAGGUGUGGGUUUCUAUUAACGAAAUCCGCGCCGUCGCUAACGCAUUAAGUGCCCCGCCUGGGGAGUACGGUCGCAAGACUAAAACUUAAAGGAAAUUGACGG
rnacentral:rRNA from 1 species